AUCCAACUGACGAGUCCCAAAUAGGACGAAAUGUACGUCAAACUGGAU
rnacentral:hammerhead_ribozyme from 1 species